rnacentral:rRNA from 1 species
UACGUAGGGGGCAAGCGUUGUCCGGAUUCAUUGGGCGUAAAGGGUGUGUAGGUGGCGCCGUAAGUCGGGUGUGAAAUUUCGGAGCUUAACUCCGAAACUGCAUUCGAUACUGCGGUGCUUGAGGACUGGAGAGGAGACUGGAAUUCAUGGUGUAGCAGUGAAAUGCGUAGAGAUCAUGAGGAAGACCAGUGGCGAAGGCGGGUCUCUGGACGAGUUCGUCGCUGAGACACGAGGAACCAGGGAGG